AUUGAACGCUGGCGGCAUGCCUUACACAUGCAAGUCGAACGGUAACAGGUCUUCGGAUGCUGACGAGUGGCGCACGGGUGAGUACUACAUCGGAACGUGCCCGAUCGUGGGGGAUCACGCGGCGAAAGCUUUGCUAAUACCCCCUACGAUCUCCGGCUGACAGCGGGGGAUCUUCGGACCUCGCGCGGCCGUAGCGGCCGAUGGCAGAUUAGGUAGUUGGAGGGAUAAAAGCUUACCAAGCCGACGAUCUGUAGCUGGUCUGAGAGGAUGAUCAGCCACACUGGAACUGAGACACGGCCCAGACUCCUACGGGAGGCAGCAGUGGGGAAUUUUGGACAAUGGGCGAAAGCCUGAUCCAGCCAUGCCGCGUGCAGGAUGAAGGCCUUGGGGUUGUAAACUGCUUUUGUACGGAACGAAAAGCCUCUUUCUAAUAAAGAGGGGUCAUGACGGUACCGUAAGAAUAAGCACCGGCUAACUACGUG
rnacentral:rRNA from 1 species